GAUGAAGAACGCAGUGAAAUGCGAUAAGUAAUGUGAAUUGCAGAAUUCAGUGAAUCAUCGAAUCUUUGAACGCACAUUGCGCCCCCUGGUAUUCCGGGGGGCAUGCCUGUUCGAGCGUCAUUUCACCACUCAAGCCUCGCUUGGUAUUGGGCAUCGCGGUCCGCCGCGUGCCUCAAAUCGACCGGCUGGGUCUUCUGUCCCCUAAGCGUUGUGGAAACUAUUCGCUAAAGGGUGUUCGGGAGGCUACGCCGUAAAACAACCCCAUUUCUAAGGUUGACCUCGGGUCAGGUAGGGAUACCCGCUGAACUUAAGCAUAUCAAUAAGCGGAGGA
rnacentral:misc_RNA from 1 species